rnacentral:snRNA from 1 species
UGAUAGAGAGACUUGCCAAUCAU